rnacentral:rRNA from 1 species
UGGGGAAUAUUGGACAAUGGGCGCAAGCCUGAUCCAGCCAUGCCGCGUGAGUGAUGAAGGCCUUAGGGUUGUAAAGCUCUUUUGUCGGGGACGAUAAUGACGGUACCCGAAGAAUAAGUCCCGGCUAACUUCGUGCCAGCAGCCGCGGUAAUACGAAGGGGACUAGCGUUGUUCGGAAUCACUGGGCGUAAAGCGCACGUAGGCGGAUUUGUAAGUCAGGGGUGAAAUCCCGGGGCUCAACCUCGGAACUGCCUUUGAUACUGCGGAUCUCGAGUCCGAUAGAGGUGAGUGGAAUUCCUAGUGUAGAGGUGAAAUUCGUAGAUAUUAGGAAGAACACCGGUGGCGAAGGCGGCUCACUGGAUCGGUACUGACGCUGAGGUGCGAAAGCGUGGGGAGCAAACAGG